GAUGAACGCUAGCGGCAGGCUUAAUACAUGCAAGUCGAGGGACAGCACAGGUAGCAAUACUGGGUGGUAACCGGCAAACGGGUGCGGAACACGUACACAACCUUCCUUUAAGUGGGGGAUAGCCCAGAGAAAUUUGGAUUAAUACCCCGUAAUAUAGUUGAAUGGCAUCAUUUGAUUAUUAUAGCUACGGCGCUUAAUGAUGGGUGUGCGGCUGAUUAGAUAGUUGGCGGGGUAACGGCCCACCAAGUCUACGAUCAGUAGCUGAUGUGAGGGCAUGAUCAGCCACACGGGCACUGAGACACGGGCCCGACUCCUACGGGGGGCAGCAGUAAGGAAUAUUGGUCAAUGGACGCAAGUCUGAACCAGCCAUGCCGCGUGAAGGAUUAAGGUCCUCUGGAUUGUAAACUUCUUUUAUUUGGGACGAAAAAGGGCCUUUCUAGGUCAACUGACGGUACCAGAUGAAUAAGCACCGGCUAACUCCGUGCCAGCCGCCGCAGUAACAC
rnacentral:rRNA from 1 species